rnacentral:rRNA from 1 species
AUGUAAUGUAAUUCCUAUAGUGUUAAUGCACCAGAUCCCACUAGAACUUUGCAAUUAAGCAUGCCUGGGAUAGAGUAGUACUGGUAUGGGUGACCUCCCAGGAAGUCCUAGUGUUUUACAUG